rnacentral:rRNA from 1 species
UACAGAGGUCUCAAGCGUUGUUCGGAUUCACUGGGCGUAAAGGGUGCGCAGGCGGCCAAGUGUGUGAGGCGUGAAAGCCCGGGGCUUAACCCCGGAAUUGCACCUCAAACUACAUGGCUAGAGCAUUGGAGAGGGUAGCAGAAUUCACGGUGUAGCAGUGAAAUGCGUAGAUAUCGUGAGGAAUACCAGAGGCGAAGGCGGCUACCUGGACAAUUGCUGACGCUCAGGCACGAAAGCGUGGGGAGCAAAAGGG